CGAGAAGACCCUAUGGAGCUUUAGACACCUAGCCGCAAGUUUCGUCCAAAAACCCUGAACAAAAGACCAAACAACUAGACCUGCCCUAAUGUCUUUGGUUGGGGCGACCUAGG
rnacentral:rRNA from 1 species